CAGGAUGAACGCUAGCUACAGGCUUAACACAUGCAAGUCGAGGGGAAACGACAUCGAAAGCUUGCUUUUGAUGGGCGUCGACCGGCGCACGGGUGAGUAACGCGUAUCCAACCUGCCCAUCACUUGGGGAUAACCUUGCGAAAGUAAGACUAAUACCCAAUGACGUCUCUAGAAGACAUCUGAAAGAGAUUAAAGAUUUAUCGGUGAUGGAUGGGGAUGCGUCUGAUUAGCUUGUUGGCGGGGUAACGGCCCACCAAGGCGACGAUCAGUAGGGGUUCUGAGAGGAAGGUCCCCCACAUUGGAACUGAGACACGGUCCAAACUCCUACGGGAGGCAGCAGUGAGGAAUAUUGGUCAAUGGACGAGAGUCUGAACCAGCCAAGUAGCGUGCAGGAUGACGGCCCUAUGGGUUGUAAACUGCUUUUAUAAGGGAAUAAAGUGAGAGUCGUGACUCUUUUUGCAUGUACCUUAUGAAUAAGGACCGGCUAAUUCCGUGCCAGCAGCCGCGGUAAUACGGAAGGUCCGGGCGUUAUCCGGAUUUAUUGGGUUUAAAGGGAGCGUAGGCCGGAGAUUAAGCGUGUUGUGAAAUGUAGAGGCUCAACCUCUGCACUGCAGCGCGAACUGGUCUUCUUGAGUACGCACAACGUGGGCGGAAUUCGUGGUGUAGCGGUGAAAUGCUUAGAUAUCACGAAGAACUCCGAUUGCGAAGGCAGCUCACGGGAGCGCAACUGACGCUGAAGCUCGAAAGUGCGGGUAUCGAACAGGAUUAGAUACCCUGGUAGUCCGCACGGUAAACGAUGGAUGCCCGCUGUUGGCCUGAAUAGGUCAGCGGCCAAGCGAAAGCAUUAAGCAUCCCACCUGGGGAGUACGCCGGCAACGGUGAAACUCAAAGGAAUUGACGG
rnacentral:rRNA from 1 species